rnacentral:rRNA from 1 species
UUGGGGAGCUGGCCUACACAUGCAAGUCGAGCGGAUGAGUGGAGCUUGCUCCAUGAUUCAGCGGCGGACGGGUGAGUAAUGCCUAGGAAUCUGCCUGGUAGUGGGGGACAACGUUUCGAAAGGAACGCUAAUACCGCAUACGUCCUACGGGAGAAAGUGGGGGAUCUUCGGACCUCACGCUAUCAGAUGAGCCUAGGUCGGAUUAGCUAGUUGGUGAGGUAAAGGCUCACCAAGGCGACGAUCCGUAACUGGUCUGAGAGGAUGAUCAGUCACACUGGAACUGAGACACGGUCCAGACUCCUACGGGAGGCAGCAGUGGGGAAUAUUGGACAAUGGGCGAAAGCCUGAUCCAGCCAUGCCGCGUGUGUGAAGAAGGUCUUCGGAUUGUAAAGCACUUUAAGUUGGGAGGAAGGGCAGUAAGUUAAUACCUUGCUGUUUUGACGUUACCAACAGAAUAAGCACCGG